GGAUGUGAGGGCGAUCUGGCUGCGACAUCUGUCACCCCAUUGAUCGCCAGGGUUGAUUCGGCUGAUCUGGCUGGCUAGGCGGGUAUCCCCUUCCUCCCUCACCGCUCCAUGUGCGUCCCUCCCGAAGCUGCGCUCGGUCGAAGAGGACCACCAUCCCCGAUAGAGGAGGACCGUUCUUCGGUCAAGGGUAUACGAGUAGCUGUGCUCCCCUGCUAGAACCUCCAAACAAGCUCUCAAGAAGUAGAUAUUAACAGUGUACAAAGAAGAUAAGAAUAAAAUGAGAGAAGUUC
rnacentral:snRNA from 1 species